CAAUAACCUAUGAACGACAGUCCAUUAGCUGCAGUCCUUCCCAUCUCGCUUCCACCAUCUCAUUCAUUUUUCAUGUUCUCUUCUUCCUCUGCAGUUGGCUGAAUAUCCAGAGUUUGCACAGUCUCUCUCCCUCACACCGCUGUCCUUUCUAUACCAGUGCCUGAAAUUGUACUAACACUAUAAUCUGUGAACACAGUGAGCAUCCUUGGGUCCCGUGAAACCCCAAAAUAUUGUUGGAGAAGCUUGGGGCUACAUCCAUGGACAUAGAUAGAGCUCUAUAAGGUCUGUCAGUCUCUUUGUCGCCAUUUCUGACAGUGGAAAGCUGAUGAAUCCAACAAAGCUAGGAAAGGAUCCAGUGGCUGGAUGCUAGAGAAAUAGGAAAAAAAGCACAACUUUUUUUUAUAACAGGGACAGUAGUUAAGCAUUGGGCAGCCUUAUCCUAGGGAUGUGAUGCUUUGACAGUGUACAUCACGACCUGUUUUACUCAUAUCUUUCUAAAAGACAGGCUGUGGGUUCAGUAGAAGUUAUGAGCUUAUUACAAGAGCUGCUGGAUAAAACUCCCCGGUAUAAGUGCCUGGCUGCACAAAGCAGCUUGUGGGGUUUAGAGGCCAAACUCCCUUUGGUGUAAACAGGUGCAACUCUGUACAAGCCCCUUACAGAAGAACAGAAUUUGACCUCUUGUCUUUUGUGAUUCCACUAACUGGGUAGAGUUUGAUUUGAACCAUGGGAUUUGAACUCACAAUCUCUUGGCUUGGCUCUCAAUGUACCUUCACCUAAGCUAACAGGAAUUUUGAUAAGCACACAAGCAGUUCUUUCCUAUAUUUAGGAGGAAAAUAAUCCCUACCUCCUGUAUUUGGUGAGUAGGAGAAAGAUGCUCCAAAGCACAAUACUUUCUUUAGCAGUAUUUACAGUUUUUCAGGUGAUUGCUCUCUCAGUUUUCAGAGAGUAUAAUUUAUAGAGCUGCAAUGAAGCUGCCUUUUUUUCCUGGGUAACAUUUUAUCUGACUGUACUAUGCUAAUAUGAUCAGUCAUGUGCUGUGCAUCUCGUCCCCAUCUCUUCUUAUCCAUAAAUUAUUCAAGACUAUUAUAGCUAAAAUUGUGAGUGGAUGAUUUCUUUUCUUCUGAAAUGCCAAGAAGAGUUUGGCUUUGAAGUGAGGUGAAGACACCUGUUAUGAGAUGAUACGCUAUCUCACUGAGGAAUCGGGGACCUGUUGCAAGACAGAAGGCUAUCUCCUAGUGGAACUGGGAAUCAUGGAUAGAAAAAGCUUUUCUUAAUUGAAAAAAAAAGAUUAAGAGGAGAAAUUAAUAUAAGAUACCAACAUCGACAUCAGCCCAUUUCAAAUAUACUAAAAUGAGUAUGAAAGUUUAGAGACGAGCCAGGCUUCUUCCUCUUGCUGUGUAACCCUCAGCCCUAUUGACGUGCCACCAUGCAGACCCAGCCCAAACUGGACCCAGACCGCUGUCCUUCAAGUCAUUGUGGAGGAGGAAUUUACCCCCGGUAUCUGGCCAAAUGGAGGUAAAAGUCUUGUUUGGCUAAAAGUAACUAAUUUACUCUCCCAGGAUGCAAACAAUUCAGGUAAUUUAUUACCCUCUUUUGUAUAUGCAAAUCAACCUUUGAAAUCAUAUGUUUUAAGCUGGACAAGUACAGUAGAUGCAGCGGGAACAAAAUGGUGACCAGGUUCUUUCAAAAACUACAUUUCCCAGCAGUGCACGUGCCUGCAGUCAGAGGUCAGCCCUUUUCACAGGUGUAGGAGCUCAGCCCUUUGGCUGAAAUACUGGACCUUUGUUUGAGGAGGAAGUUUAAGGCAGUGGCUGCUGGGCUUCCCAAGGUAGAGUCAACUCCUGACUUCCUUCUGUGUCAGUAGAACAAGAGCUCGUAAGACACAGCAGAGCCCUUGAAGGAUUGUGAUGGGUGUGCAGAUCGUGCUGAGAAGAAGGAGAGAAAGUCAGCAGGGAGACCCUCGCCGAGAUGUCACUGCACCCGGGCUGCAGCACCAGGUAGCCGUCAAUAUGCACAUAUGGUUCACAUUCCCUUUCUUUAUACGCACUGCUCAUUGCUUUUGCAUGCUAUGUUAUGCCUAAUUUAUAUUAUAAUCUCCUCAGGACAAGAGUCUUAUCAUUUUGUUCUGUCCAAAAUGCUGUGAACACCUCUGGUGUUGCAUAGAUAACUAAGUGAACCCCAGUAAGUAAAUGAAUCCUGGUGGCAUGGGACAGGCAGGCACAUGCU